GACGAACGCUGGCGGCGUGCUUAACACAUGCAAGUCGAGCGGGAUCCAACCGGUGGCAACACCGGGGAAGAUCUAGCGGCGAACGGGUGAGUAACACGUGAGCAACCUGCCCCGAAGACUGGGAUAACACCGGGAAACCGGUGCUAAUACCGGAUGUCGUCAUUAGACCGCAUGACCUGAUGAUGAAAGGAUUCAUCGCUUCGGGAGGGGCUCGCGGGCUAUCAGCUUGNGGUGGGGUAACGGCCUACCAAGGCGACGACGGCUAGCUGGUCUGAGAGGACGACCAGCCACACUGGGACUGAGACACGGCCCAGACUCCUACGGGAGGCAGCAGUGGGGAAUCUUGCGCAAUGGGCGAAAGCCUGACGCAGCAACGCCGCGUGGGGGAUGAAUGCCUUCGGGUU
rnacentral:rRNA from 1 species